rnacentral:rRNA from 1 species
UACGAAGGGGGCUAGCGUUGCUCGGAAUUACUGGGCGUAAAGGGCGCGUAGGCGGACAGUUUAGUCAGAGGUGAAAGCCCAGGGCUCAACCUUGGAAUUGCCUUUGAUACUGGCUAUCUUGAGUUCGGGAGAGGUGAGUGGAAUGCCGAGUGUAGAGGUGAAAUUCGUAGAUAUUCGGCGGAACACCAGUGGCGAAGGCGACUCACUGGCCCGAUACUGACGCUGAGGCGCGAAAGCGUGGGGAGCAAACAGG